GUCAUCAAACACUUGAUCUUCUUUUUAAAUUCAAGCUCCACACGUGCUUUAAAUAUUUUAAAAACUACAAAUACAUCUUCCUUCCUUUUGAUUGGAUACACCCAACAUCUUCUGAAGUAAUCAUCAACAAAAGAUACAAAAUAUCUUGCACCUCCUAGAGAUAUAACUGGUGCUUGCCAAACAUCAGAAUGAACUAGUUCUAGGACAACUUUACUUCUAACUGUGAAACUGCUGAACUUCAAUCUGUGCUACUUACUAGUAACACAAUGCUCACAAAAGGGUAAUGAAACCAUUUUGAGCCCUGGAAAAAGCAAUUGUUCUGAGAGAUUUUUCAAACCACGUUCCGACAUGUGGCCAAGCUUACGUUGCCACAUCAUCGUUAAUUCUUUUGUUGAACUUGUUGAUGCGACAAACGCUUUUUCUUCUUGUAUUGUCUUUCCUUUAAAUAUGGACAAAUUUGUAGCUAUUUUUUCGCUUUUAUCACCACAAAUGCGCCUUUGAUUAUUUUCAUGACCCCAUCUUGUACAUGGGUCUUGCAGUCAAUGCUAUCUAAUUGUCCUAAAGACAAUAGAUUUUUUUCCAAGUCUUUUACAUGCCGCACCUCUUGAAUAUUUGCGAACUGCACCAUCAUAUAUUUUCAAUUUGAUGAUACCAAUGCCAGCGAUCUCCAAGGCAUAAUCAUUUCCCAUAAACAGAGAUCCUCCGGAGAUAGGUUCAUAUUGAUGGAACCAUUCUCACCUUGAUGUCAUAUACCAUGUAGCUACUGAGUCUAUAAGCCAGACAUUAGAAAACUGCUUUCUGCCUUCAACAAUUGUUGUUGCCUCGCCGUAUAAAAUUUCACCAUCAUCUAAUGUGCUUGUUACACAAUCCUGAGCUUUUGAUGUCUCAAGACCUCUUCAUUCUUUUUAAAACUCCUACAAUCCCUUUUUAAGUGCCAUUUCUUGCCACAGUAAUGACAUUUGUCAUUCUUCUUACUCAUGGAUUUUGAUCUAUUCUGAUUAUGACUCCCACUGGAGCGUCGUUCCGUUGAUCUCCCUCUCAUCAUCGUCAAAGCCUCCGCCUGAUGCGAACUUAUCGAUCUGUCCUCCUUGUUCUUGCGUCGACUUUUUUCUUCAAGAACUGCAGCUGCAACAUCAUCGAAGACUAGACUUUCAAGGUUGUUGGUUAAGUUGAUGAUGAUUUAAUCAUAUGAAUCUGGUAGGCUUUGAAAUAAGAACUCAGGACGUUCAUCUGCCUCUAUAUUAUGUCCAAUUGAUGUGGGCUGUGAAAAUAGAGUAGAGUGUUUAGGGUGUUGAUUUGAUCGAUCACUGCAGUUGACUCCAUCGUCCGAAAGGUAUAAAGCUUUCUCUUUAAGAAGAUUUUGUUAUGUAAUGAUUUUGUCUCAUACAGUUUCAUCAGCCUAUUCCAUAUUUCUUUGACCGUCUUUUUCUCUGUCACACUUGAUAGUAUUCCAUCAGCAAGUGCUAGGUGCAGAUUAGCAAUUGCAUUGCCAUCCAUCUUGUUCCACUUGCCAUCGUCUGUGAUCUCUGUGGGCCUCUGUCCGAUUGCCGUCAAGCAGUUAUCUUUUCUCGAGACUACUUUUAUUCUCAUUUUUCACGAUGAGAAAUUGUUCCCAUUGAACUUUUCAAUGUCAUACAUUGCCGUCAUUUUGUUCACCAAUACUAUGACUGAAAAUAGUGACGUGUAUGUAAAUAGUGAACGACGACCCUACAGAAAAACCUUGCUCUGAUACCAUUGUUAGGAACUCGUGGGUCAAGUUUGGCUUGCAAUGAAAAUGGAAUUGAGAAAAUACAAUAAAAAUGGACACAAAUACUUACGUGGUUUAUCCAAUUUUGGCUACCUCCACGGACAAGUAUAAGAGGAUUUUACGAUAGUAGGAGAAUUACAGUAACACUCUCUAAAUACAAGGAGAUAACAAACAAUUAAUCUCACUUGUAAUAAGAGAAAUUAGGUAAAAAAUACUUGGGAGAAAUACUAAGUUCGAAACACUUAGGAGAAACCAAUAUUUUUCUCUCUCUACUCACUACUUUCAAUUUCCUCUCAAUUUUUCUGCUUCAUUCCUCUUCGAUUUCAUCCUCUAUUUAUUGGAAGAUUUGCAACCCAUCAUAUUAAUUACACACCAAAAUGUCAACAAAAAUUUGCUGCCUUUCUCUUUAUAAUUUACGGCUACAGAUAGAAAAAUCUCAUCAAGUCCAAUCUUUAAAUUGAGCAUUGAAUGCAAAGGUGGCUGUGAAGAAAAUUGCUUGUCCCUUUAGUCAAAGAAGUGGCUUUAACAUCCGACAGUUGGUUCCUGAUUCAAAAUCGACUAGUUCAGACAUCAUAAGCAAUAACACAGACAACACGGAAAACUUCUCAACAUCAAUAAAAAUAUCAGCAAACAUUUCAGUCUUCAGAAAGAAAUCUUUGCAAAAAUGCUACUAAAAAAUCACCACCACACAAUUCAAACGACCUUGUAAAUCACUUUCUUGUUUCUUGCUAUCUAUGAAGGUGAUGCAUG
rnacentral:lncRNA from 1 species